UUGCGGCCAUAUCACGUUGAAACACCGGUUCUCAUCCGAUCACCGAAGUUAAGCAAUCUUGACGCUGGUCUGUACUCUGAUUGGUAACCGCUAAGGAAUACCAGGUGCUGUAAG